rnacentral:lncRNA from 1 species
AUGGGACUGGUUUUCACUUGCAUAAAGAAAAAAAAGGUUAAAAAUGAGAAAUUCCCUUUUCUAUGUACAACAUAUUGACUGUAAUUUCCUUCAACUUUUUUUUUUUUCUAAUGAUGAAGAGUAUGAAUGUAGCUGCAUCAAGAAGCAGAUUUUGCAUAGCUUCUCAGUUCAGGAACACCACUGUACAUGAAUUUGCAAGCUGACUGUACAUACCGACCUGCCCUAGAGGCUGCUUUUGGCAAAUAAUUGGCAACCUUGCUCCAGAUUUACAGGAAUGAGAAAGGUACAUGGAUGUUGUAGCAAACCACGAGCAGUCCAAAGAAGAAUCAGUAUCUCUUAACAGCAUUCGACCUUUUUUAAGAGCUGCAGCUGACCCUUUUUUAUCGCUGCUAACUACAUUUGGUAUCUGUAAAAGAUUAGGAUAGGAGGCACUUGUAGCUUCUUUGUGAUAUAGUGUCUCUAAGCUUUCAACUGGUAUCUCUUCCUCUGCCUCCAUUUCAUUGGUCCUUUCCUUAUUUUUGAUUUUACUUAGAAUCCUUUUUGCCUCCUUGGUCAAUCCAGUGGGACGCCAAGCUUCUGCAAGAAGCAAGAAGGUGGAUUUCUGAGGGUGGACUCCAAAUGCUUUCAUGAUUUGGAGUAUUUCUUCAGCUCUCCAUGGUUGCUUGGCUUCGUUGUAUCCCCACAUUAGGGUCUCAAAAGUCUUCAAAUUGGGAGAAACCCCAUGUUCACACAUCUUGUCAAUUAACUAAAAAGCUGCAUCUAUGCUUUUACGUUUGCAUUCCUCUGUACAAGAAAAAUUUUCCCCUUUAGCUUCUAAAUGAAGCCGUGUUUUAAAACUCACAGCUCAGUAUUGUUUAUGUUAAGUUUUCUACCCCGAAUAUUUUCAUAGUCACGUUUUCAAGGGAAAAAGCCGGCCUUUUAUUUGCACAACUAAACGUUUUUUCGAAGACAGAAAAAGUAAAUCAGGAUGUUUAUAACGUGGGAUGGCAGAAACAAUGCGCAUUUUUGGUACAGAAAAUAUCAGCAGAUACAUGGGCUGGGAUGGCGAUGGGACUGGUUUUCACUUGCAUAAAGAAAAAAAAGGUUAAAAAUGAGAAAUUCCCUUUUCUAUGUACAACAUAUUGACUGUAAUUUCCUUCAACUUUUUUUUUUUUCUAAUGAUGAAGAGUAUGAAUGUAGCUGCAUCAAGAAGCAGAUUUUGCAUAGCUUCUCAGUUCAGGAACACCACUGUACAUGAAUUUGCAAGCUGACUGUACAUACCGACCUGCCCUAGAGGCUGCUUUUGGCAAAUAAUUGGCAACCUUGCUCCAGAUUUACAGGAAUGAGAAAGGUACAUGGAUGUUGUAGCAAACCACGAGCACUCCAAAGAAGAAUCAGCAUCUCUUAACAGCAUUCGACCUUUUUUAAGAGCUGCAGCUGACCCUUUUUUAUCGCUGCUAACUACAUUUGG